AUUGAACGCUGGCGGCAUGCCUUACACAUGCAAGUCGAACGGCAGCGGGGACUUCGGUCCGCCGGCGAGUGGCGCACGGGUGAGUAAAGUAUCGGAACGUACCUUUCAGUGGGGGAUAACGUAGCGAAAGUUACGCUAAUACCGCAUAUUCUGUGCGCAGGAAAGCAGGGGAUCGCAAGACCUUGCGCUGAUUGAGCGGCCGAUAUCAGAUUAGCUAGUUGGUGGGGUAAAGGCCUACCAAGGCUACGAUCUGUAGCGUGUCUGAGAGGAUGAUCCGCCACACUGGGACUGAGACACGGCCCAGACUCCUACGGGAGGCAGCAGUGGGGAAUUUUGGACAAUGGGGGCAACCCUGAUCCAGCCAUGCCGCGUGAGUGAAGAAGGCCUUCGGGUUGUAAAGCUCUUUCGGCCGGGAAGAAAUCGCACAGGCUAAUACCUUGUGUGGAUGACGGUACCGGAAUAAGAAGCACCGGCUAACUACGUGCCAGCCGCCGCGGUAA
rnacentral:rRNA from 1 species